ensembl:snRNA U4 U4 spliceosomal RNA
AGCUUUGCGCAGUGGCAGUAUCGUAGCCAAUGAGGUUUAUCCGAGGCACGAUUAUUGCUAAUUGAAAGGAGAUCUGGGAGGAGUAGAAACAUGCUAGGAGACAACCACAAGACUUCAAGAAGAAAAUUGUGUAUGUUAAAGUAAA